rnacentral:rRNA from 1 species
UAGCCUGAAGUCAGACAAGUGA